UACAGAGGUCCCAAGCGUUACUGAGAAUUACUGGGUUUAAAGGGUGCGUAGGUGGUCCGUUAAGUCAGUUGUGAAAUCCCCGGGCUCAACCCGGGAAAUGCUUCUGAUACUGGCGGACUUGAGGCCAGUAGGGGUCACUAGAACUGACGGUGGAGCGGUGAAAUGCGUAGAUAUCGUCAGGAAUGCCGGUGGUGAAGACGGGUGACUGGGCUGGUUCUGACACUGAGGCACGAAAGCGUGGGGAGCGAACGGG
rnacentral:rRNA from 1 species